rnacentral:rRNA from 1 species
GACGAACGCUGGCGGCGUGCUUAACACAUGCAAGUCGAACGGAAAGGCCCUGCUUUUGUGGGGUGCUCGAGUGGCGAACGGGUGAGUAACACGUGAGUAACCUGCCCUUGACUUUGGGGUAACUUCAGGAAACUGGGGCUAAUACCGGAUAGGAGCUCCUGCUGCAUGGUGGGGGUUGGAAAGUUUCGGCGGUUGGGGAUGGACUCGCGGCUUAUCAGCUUGUUGGUGGGGUAGUGGCUUACCAAGGCUUUGACGGGUAGCCGGCCUGAGAGGGUGACCGGCCACAUUGGGACUGAGAUACGGCCCAGACUCCUACGGGAGGCAGCAGUGGGGAAUAUUGCACAAUGGGCGGAAGCCUGAUGCAGCAACCCCGCGUGCGGGAUGACGGCCUUCGGGUUGUAAACCGCUUUCGCCUGUGACGAAGCGUGAGUGACGGUAAUGGGUAAAGAAGCACCGGCUAACUACGUG